CUUUCACCGACAACGACCUAGUGCAUUCCAUCUCCGCCAAGUGAACCCGCGGCCAGUUGCCUGUGACAAGCCGUUGUAACGUUUUUAUUUUGCGUUCUCGCUGUAUUUCGUCGUCUGACCCGACGGUGCGUUUCGUCCGAGUGUAGUGCGACGCCUAUUCGAUACGUUUCGAAUACGAGGUUGCUUGUUGCGGAGUACGUUGGCCGCGUUGUGUCGUCGCACCCAUUGUAUCGUGUCCCGUCGUCCCGUUGGUGGGACUACCAUCGUGCCUGGUGAACGCGUCGAAAGUCGGACGGAUUCACUUUGCGGCCGCCGUUUGUGUGUUGCGUGCCAGACUCCCCGUUAUUUGUAUCGCUCGACGUUGUGUGUCUUUUCCGUGCGGUAUAUUAAUCGUUCCAACGACGGUUGUCCCAGUUCGCCUCCGACGAGGGAUUUUACCUACCACGGUCAGAUAUUUCGGUGGUAAAUAAUCCCGGAGAG